GGAGCUGAGACACCGGAGCCUAUACCAGGCGAAUGGAGCGGCGCCCAGGCAUACUAGUCGUCAUGCGUUCUCUAUGGAGACUCGAGUCAUGUUCCUGUGACAUUCAGCAUAAUGCGGACACCGCGGUCUGAGCGGUUCAUCUGGCGGCACACUCCGUUAAACAGCAAUCAAGUUUUUUGCAUCCAGUAAGAGCGACUUGUCCUUGAGUGAACUGCGAUACUACCUAGAAAGGAGGGCAAACCAGCUCCAGGAUGGAAGGGGUAAGGCACAAAAUGAAGAAAAGUCUUCCGGAUGACAUUCCGACUGGGACUCAUCUAUGAAAACUUAUCAUAGGAAACCAUUCAGGUCACUUUCAUUUUAUUACCCAUAUUAGAAAAACGACAGCUGGAAUGGGAUUUAUGCUUCAUGCCGGCAACACUACCACUCAUAUUAUAAAUGGAUCUCAUUGCAAACCACAGAGCUUUUCCCCUGCAGAAGAUAUUUGUAUGGGAAA